CGGGAAACUGAGUAUAAUGCCCGAUAGAACACUAUUCCUGGAAUGGUUUGUGUUCCAAAUGAAUGUCGCCGUAGGAUGGGACUGCGGCCUAUCAGUUUGUUGGUGAGGUAAUGGCCCACCAAGACUAUUACAGGUACGGGCUCUGAGAGGAGUAGCCCGGAGAUGGGUACUGAGACACGGACCCAGGCCCUAUGGGGCGCAGCAGGCGAGAAAACUUUGCAAUGUGCGAAAGCACGACAAGGUUAAUCCGAGUGGUUUGUGCUAAACGAACCUUUUGACAGUCCUAGAAACACUGUUGAAUAAGGGGUGGGCAAGUUCUGGUGUCAGCCGCCGCGGUAAAACCAGCACCUCAAGUGGUCAGGAUGAUUAUUGGGCCUAAAGCAUCCGUAGCCGGCUCUGUAAGUUUUCGGUUAAAUCUGUACGCUCAACGUACAGGCUGCCGGGAAUACUGCAGAGCUAGGGAGUGGGAGAGGUAGACGGUACUCGGUAGGAAGGGGUAAAAUCCUUUGAUCUAUUGAUGACCACCUGUGGCGAAGGCGGUCUACCAGAACACGUCCGACGGUGAGGGAUGAAAGCUGGGGGAGCAAACCGGAUUAGAUACCCGGGUAGUCCCAGCUGUAAACUAUGCAAACUCAGUGAUGCAUUGGCUUGUGGCCAAUGCAGUGCUGCAGGGAAGCCGUUAAGUUUGCCGCCUGGGAAGUACGUACGCAAGUAUGAAACUUAAAGGAAUUGGCGGGGGAGCACCACAAGGGGUGAAGCCUGCGGUUC
rnacentral:rRNA from 1 species